CCUCACACCCCGAGUUCCGCGAGACUCGACUCUCCUCCCCACGGGGGGGGCGGGGGGGGCGGGGGCGCCGUCGGAAGAGACCCAGAGUCUCCCGCGCCAGCUCUGGCCUUACCUCUUGGCCUUGGUUCCCUUGAGCACGAGUUUGGUGGACUUCACAAAGAAUUAUCAAUGAAGAGCCCAACAGAAGAAUCAGCAGCAGGAAAGAAUCAUCAAUCACAGGCUCCUGCAAGGGAAAGAUGUAUUUCGUAUCUCUGACAACAUCUCCACUACCCCUGCAACUCAGCCCUUUGGAAACCAUCAUGACCUGGACUUCUGCUAUUUUUUCCCCCCCAAUGGACUUUUGUUUGGAAAAAACCCUCCCAGCUUCAUUCUUCUUCUGCACAAAAUAAUGUUCCUCUUUGUUUGUUGCAUGUCCAGAAUUGGAAUUCUGUUAUUCCUGAAAAAAAACCAUUUUUUUGCUAGUAAAAUAACUGAUAGUUUUAUUUUUCAGGUUAAAACUCCAAAAAACUGUCUUUAAAUUCCCUCCUGCACUCCCCAAGCAUCCUGCAUUUCUCAUUCUGUAGUUAAUUGUGUGCUUUUUCAGGGCAGGAACAUAAGUAGCUUAUUCGUCUUUGUUUCACCUAUAUACCUUGUGCAGUACCUGCUUCAGAGUAGACCCCGCAUAAAUGUCUGUUAACAUGUUAGGAUUGUAAAGCCUGAAGUUCAGCUGUGGGUUAAUGAAGAGAGUGGAACAUUUAGGAGUGUGACUAGAUAGGAGGGGUUGUGGUAGAAAAACAGGAGGAGGAAAAUCAGAGGGGUGAGGAAUAAUAUAUUAUCAUGGAGGCCACUGGAGGCCCAUUCCUUAUUUAUUUACCAACCGUCUCUGCAAAAACACCAUGUGCUUGAUGAUAACAUGUUGGCACCAGUAUGGACAAAGGCAAGGAGCUAGGUGAGUGCUGCGUUGUGAAAAGAGAAGUGAAUAGCCCAGUUGGUUGGAGACAGGGCAUGUAGAUUACAGUGGUGGGAUCCAGGAUUGAGAAGGCAAAGUUGGGUCAUUUUGUACCUGAAAAAUUUGCAUAAUCAGGAAGCAAUUGUGAGGGUACUUUGCAGGGGGGUCAGAUGAACAGAGUGGUACUCCAGGAUGGUUACUCUGCAGCACUUGGCAAUGCGAUAUAAGCCAUGAGCUUUGGCUAUUUUUUUUUAUUUUAUUUUUUUGGUAAUACGAGUAACUGACAAAAGAUAGUUAUUUCAAAUAAACACAUUGCCAACCACAAGACUAGACAAAGAGCCAGCCCCACUGCCCCCUAGGCUCCUUUGUGAACUUGGUUGAUUUCAAUAAGUGACCAUUUGGGCCACUUGCCUUUUCUCUUCCUGAGCUUUAAAUUCCACACUCUUAUAUUUUAAAUUUUCUAAUAAAGAGUGAGCCUAUAAAACCCUAGCCCCCCACACUUGGCUCUGAUAAAAGCAGAAAACCUGCCUGUGCAUACUUGUAUGCUCGCCAUCCUCCUUCCCCCUGCCCUGUGUGACCUCGCUAUGUGGUUCCAGGUGUGCUGUGUGAUUUCCAGGUCUUAUAAAUAAUAAAUCUCUAUUGUUUCAAAGUU